rnacentral:lncRNA from 1 species
GGGGCUUUGGAAGGGAGCUCCGGAAGGCGAGAUAAAUACAUAACUCCUUAGAGGCUGGCUAAAGAGAGUUUUGAAUUGCUAGUGACUUUUGAAGGUACAAAGACAAGGAGUGUCUGUGGUUCUGCCCUUCCUCUGCCACUGGAUCCUGAAGCCGGUCAAGUGCCACUGGACUUCAUUUACUGUCUUCUCUGCCUUCUACUGGCCUUAGGGGAAAAAAAAAGUGAGGUCAUAUUUGAUGUCCUUUUCUUUGGCUGGAAACCUGAACUGGUCUUUGGAAAUACAAGGUCUUAACAAGGAUGGUGUAUGCUUUGGACUUUGGCAUUUCCAUGAUGAGGUCUCAAAUCCUGAGUUCCAGCUGUGGCGCAAUGGGUUUGGUGGCCUCUUUGGAGUGCUGGGAUGCAGCUGUGGCUCAGAUCUGAUCCCUAGCCUGGGAACUCCCUAUGCCAUGGGGCAGCCAAAAAAAGUUAACAACGACAAAAAAAAUCCUCUCCAUGUCCGCAGUAGUACUUUCUUGACACCUAUUUUUUGUUUUGUUUUUUUUAGGGCCACACCCUCAGCAUAUGGAGGUUCCCAGGCUAGGGGUCUAAAUGGAGCUGUAGCCGCCGACCUACACCACAGCCACAGCAACACCAGAUCUGAGUCAUGUCUGCGACCUACACUACAGCUCACGACAAUGCCAGAACCUUAA